UACGGAGGAUGCAAGCGUUAUCCGGAAUGAUUGGGCGUAAAGCGUCCGCAGGUGGCUAUGUAAGUCUGCUGUUAAAGAGUGAGGCUCAACCUCAUAAGAGCAGUGGAAACUACAUGGCUAGAGUGCGUUCGGGGCAGAGGGAAUUCCUGGUGUAGCGGUGAAAUGCGUAGAUAUCAGGAAGAACACCGGUGGCGAAAGCGCUCUGCUAGGCCGCAACUGACACUGAUGGACGAAAGCUAGGGGAGCGAAUGGG
rnacentral:rRNA from 1 species